GAACGAGACCUUUUCUCGUUGUCACCUGUACCAGACCAGUGCCAUUUUUUCGGAUUUGUGUCGAGUCUUUGAGGGCUACAUACAGCGCGCAACGCAUAAGACCAUCAGAUCCACUGGGAGGAGCAGUUCCUGGAGUAGCUAAGCUCUUGGUGGAACUGAGCAAGUUAAGAGUGCGGCUUUUGGACUUUGGACUGCCCGGAGGGUCGCUGGUUCUGUUCCUUCCAAGCACAAUGGAUACGCACAACGGAUAUGGGUGGUGGUGACGGAGAUGCACCCCCCCCCCCCCCCCUCCAACCUCUGCAACCUCUGCAACCCCUGCAACCCCAGCUCCCUGGGCUACACACUAGGGAAGCCCCCUGCCCCAGUGUCUCGAGUGCAUGUGCAUGCUUGUGUGUGUUUCGUUCACUUGGUGUGGGUAAAAUGCAGAGAGUAAUUUACCCAGCUUUAUUUUUUAAUAAAGGAAAAACUUAACUUAUUAAAAUUGAUUACAGAAACCUAGUUGUUUGUAUAUGGCAGCUGUUAUACAGUAAUAAACGUUGGAAAC